rnacentral:rRNA from 1 species
UACGGAGGGGGCUAGCGUUGUUCGGAAUUACUGGGCGUAAAGCGCGCGUAGGCGGAUCUGCAAGUCGGGGGUGAAAUCCCGAGGCUCAACCUCGGAACUGCCUUCGAUACUGCGGGUCUCGAGUCCGGGAGAGGUGAGUGGAAUUCCUAGUGUAGAGGUGAAAUUCGUAGAUAUUAGGAAGAACACCAGUGGCGAAGGCGCCUCACUGGCCCGGUACUGACGCUGAGGCGCGAAAGCGUGGGGAGCAAACAGG